rnacentral:piRNA from 1 species
AUCUGUCUGUGUGGAGGUGAAUGC